rnacentral:rRNA from 1 species
CUUUCACCGAAUGCUUGCAUUCACCGAAAGAAGCUUAGUGGCGAACGGGUGAGUAACACGUAGGCAACCUGCCCAAAAGAGGGGGAUAACACUUGGAAACAGGUGCUAAUAUCGCAUAACCAUGAACACCGCAUGAUGUUCAUGUAAAAGACGGCUUUUGCUGUCACUUUUGGAUGGGCCUGCGGCGUAUUAACUUGUUGGUGGGGUAACGGCCUACCAAGGUGAUGAUACGUAGCCGAACUGAGAGGUUGAUCGGCCACAUUGGGACUGAGACACGGCCCAAACUCCUACGGGAGGCAGCAGUAGGGAAUCUUCCACAAUGGACGAAAGUCUGAUGGAGCAACGCCGCGUGAAUGAAGAAGGCCUUCGGGUCGUAAAAUUCUGUUGUCAGAGAAGAACGUGCGUGAGAGUAACUGUUCACGUAUUGACGGUAUCUGACUAGAAAGCCACGGCUAACUACGUGCCAGCAGCCGCGGUAAUACGUAGGUGGCAAGCGUUGUCCGGAUUUAUUGGGCGUAAAGGGAACGCAGGCGGUCUUUUAAGUCUGAUGUGAAAGCCUUCGGCUUAACCGAAGUAGUGCAUUGGAAACUGGAAGACUUGAGUGCAGAAGAGGAGAGUGGAACUCCAUGUGUAGCGGUGAAAUGCGUAGAUAUAUGGAAGAACACCAGUGGCGAAAGCGGCUCUCUGGUCUGUAACUGACGCUGAGGUUCGAAAGCGUGGGUAGCAAACAGGAUUAGAUACCCUGGUAGUCCACGCCGUAAACGAUGAGUGCUAAGUGUUGGAGGGUUUCCGCCCUUCAGUGCUGCAGCUAACGCAUUAAGCACUCCGCCUGGGGAGUACGGUCGCAAGACUGAAACUCAAAUGAAUUGACGGAAGGGC